GGGCCAUUAGCUCAAUUGGCAGAGCAACUGACUCUUAAUCAGUAGGUUCACAGUUCGAUUCUGUGAUGGCCCACCA
rnacentral:tRNA from 1 species